rnacentral:rRNA from 1 species
UACGUAGGGUGCGAGCGUUGUCCGGAAUUAUUGGGCGUAAAGGGCGCGUAGGCGGCUUGAUGUGUCAAAGGUGAAAUCCCUCGGCUCAACUGAGGAACUGCCUUUGAAACUGUCUGGCUUGAGGCCGGGAGAGGGUAGCGGAAUUCCCAGUGUAGCGGUGAAAUGCGUAGAUACUGGGAGGAACACCGGUGGCGAAGGCGGCUACCUGGACCGGUUCUGACGCUGAUGCGCGAAAGCGUGGGUAGCAAACAGG